AAGCAUAAAUUAUGUUAGAGCAACGUCUCUUUUCUUCCUUUGCCUUAAAAGGACUACUUAUCCUUUUAAAUGUAUUCAGAAAGUCAUCCCACUG
rnacentral:snoRNA from 1 species